AUGAGCAUUACAACGUCACCCUCAUCGCUGCUCAGUUCCUUCAAUAGAUUCAUCAACCACACGACUUGGCACGCACACAACGAAGCGGCAACAUACUCGGCGUCACAAGACGAAAGUGCUACUACCAGUUCCUUCUUCAAAAACCAUGAGAUUAGUGUUCUAUCGAAUAUAAAGAUGUAUACAACUGUAGACUUUCGAUCAUAUUUAUCUCAGCAUCAAUUAGACUCAGUAAAACCGAGUAAAUUGCAUUUUCAGCCCAUGUGUGUUGCGGGAAAGAGAAUUCCGCAGCAAAUAGAUCCUUUGACUUAUCUUAGAAUCCUCUUGACUGCUGUCAAGUGA